UAGGUUAUUCAUGUUUACAUUCAUGAUUAAGUUCAUGUGAUAAGUUACUUAUUAGAUUUUUAUUAUUGGUUUGUUAGGAGAUCGUUCAAGAUUAAGACUAAGUGGAGAUACUAGUAUACUUUUUGUGCAAGAUCAAGAUUUGCAGGUGAAUUUUGGAUGUGCAUGGGAGCAUACUAGGAAGGGGAUCUUCACCUAGAUUAGAGUGUUUCAUUUAUUUUGAGUUUUGAGACAAUAUUUACUUUUAUUAAUAAAGAAGUAUUAUUAUUUUUGGUUAA